rnacentral:rRNA from 1 species
GGGUUGUGAGGUUAAGCGACUAAGCGUACACGGUGGAUGCCCUGGCAGUCAGAGGCGAUGAAGGACGUGCUAAUCUGCGAAAAGCGUCGGUAAGGUGAUAUGAACCGUUAUAGCCGGCGAUGUCCGAAUGGGGAAACCCAGUGCAAUUCGUUGCACUAUCGUUAACUGAAUACAUAGGUUAACGAGGCGAACCGGGGGAACUGAAACAUCUAAGUACCCCGAGGAAAAGAAAUCAACCGAGAUUCCCCCAGUAGCGGCGAGCGAACGGGGAGCAGCCCAGAGUCUGAAUCAGCUUGUGUGUUAGUGGAACGGUCUGGAAAGUCCGACGGUACAGGGUGAUAGUCCCGUACACCAAAAUGCACAGGUUGUGAACUCGAAGAGUAGGGCGGGACACGUGGUAUCCUGUCUGAAUAUGGGGGGACCAUCCUCCAAGGCUAAAUACUCCUGACUGACCGAUAGUGAACCAGUACCGUGAGGGAAAGGCGAAAAGAACCCCGGCGAGGGGAGUGAAAAAGAACCUGAAACCGUGUACGUACAAGCAGUGGGAGCACCUUCGGGUGUGACUGCGUACCUUUUGUAUAAUGGGUCAGCGACUUAUAUUCUGUAGCAAGGUUAACCGUAUAGGGGAGCCGCAGGGAAACCGAGUCUUAACUGGGCGUUAAGUUGCAGGGUAUAGACCCGAAACCCGGUGAUCUAGCCAUGGGCAGGUUGAAGGUUGGGUAACACUAACUGGAGGACCGAACCGACUAAUGUUGAAAAAUUAGCGGAUGACUUGUGGCUGGGGGUGAAAGGCCAAUCAAACCGGGAGAUAGCUGGUUCUCCCCGAAAGCUAUUUAGGUAGCGCCUCGUGAAUUCAUCUUCGGGGGUAGAGCACUGUUUCGGCUAGGGGGUCAUCCCGACUUACCAACCCGAUGCAAACUACGAAUACCGAAGAAUGUUAUCACGGGAGACACACGGCGGGUGCUAACGUCCGUCGUGAAGAGGGAAACAACCCAGACCGCCAGCUAAGGUCCCAAAGUCAUGGUUAAGUGGGAAACGAUGUGGGAAGGCACAGACAGCCAGGAUGUUGGCUUAGAAGCAGCCAUCAUUUAAAGAAAGCGUAAUAGCUCACUGGUCGAGUCGGCCUGCGCGGAAGAUGUAACGGGGCUAAACCAUGCACCGAAGCUGCGGCAGCGACACUAUGUGUUGUUGGGUAGGGGAGCGUUCUGUAAGCCUGCGAAGGUGUGCUGUGAGGCAUGCUGGAGGUAUCAGAAGUGCGAAUGCUGACAUAAGUAACGAUAAAGCGGGUGAAAAGCCCGCUCGCCGGAAGACCAAGGGUUCCUGUCCAACGUUAAUCGGGGCAGGGUGAGUCGACCCCUAAGGCGAGGCCGAAAGGCGUAGUCGAUGGGAAACAGGUUAAUAUUCCUGUACUUGGUGUUACUGCGAAGGGGGGACGGAGAAGGCUAUGUUAGCCGGGCGACGGUUGUCCCGGUUUAAGCAUGUAGGCUGGUUGUCCAGGCAAAUCCGGAUAAUCAAGGCUGAGGUGUGAUGACGAGGCACUACGGUGCUGAAGUAACAAAUGCCCUGCUUCCAGGAAAAGCCUCUAAGCAUCAGGUAACAUCAAAUCGUACCCCAAACCGACACAGGUGGUCAGGUAGAGAAUACCAAGGCGCUUGAGAGAACUCGGGUGAAGGAACUAGGCAAAAUGGUGCCGUAACUUCGGGAGAAGGCACGCUGGUGUGUAGGUGAAGUCCCUGCGGAUGGAGCUGAGACCAGUCGAAGAUACCAGCUGGCUGCAACUGUUUAUUAAAAACACAGCACUGUGCAAACACGAAAGUGGACGUAUACGGUGUGACGCCUGCCCGGUGCCGGAAGGUUAAUUGAUGGGGUUAUCCGUAAGGAGAAGCUCUUGAUCGAAGCCCCGGUAAACGGCGGCCGUAACUAUAACGGUCCUAAGGUAGCGAAAUUCCUUGUCGGGUAAGUUCCGACCUGCACGAAUGGCGUAAUGAUGGCCAGGCUGUCUCCACCCGAGACUCAGUGAAAUUGAACUCGCUGUGAAGAUGCAGUGUACCCGCGGCAAGACGGAAAGACCCCGUGAACCUUUACUAUAGCUUGACACUGAACAUUGAGCCUUGAUGUGUAGGAUAGGUGGGAGGCUUUGAAGCGUGGACGCCAGUCUGCGUGGAGCCAACCUUGAAAUACCACCCUUUAAUGUUUGAUGUUCUAACGUUGGCCCCUUACCGGGGUUGCGGACAGUGUCUGGUGGGUAGUUUGACUGGGGCGGUCUCCUCCCAAAGCGUAACGGAGGAGCACGAAGGUUAGCUAAUCCUGGUCGGACAUCAGGAGGUUAGUGCAAUGGCAUAAGCUAGCUUGACUGCGAGCGUGACGGCGCGAGCAGGUGCGAAAGCAGGUCAUAGUGAUCCGGUGGUUCUGAAUGGAAGGGCCAUCGCUCAACGGAUAAAAGGUACUCCGGGGAUAACAGGCUGAUACCGCCCAAGAGUUCAUAUCGACGGCGGUGUUUGGCACCUCGAUGUCGGCUCAUCACAUCCUGGGGCUGAAGUAGGUCCCAAGGGUAUGGCUGUUCGCCAUUUAAAGUGGUACGCGAGCUGGGUUUAGAACGUCGUGAGACAGUUCGGUCCCUAUCUGCCGUGGGCGCUGGAGAAUUGAGGGGGGCUGCUCCUAGUACGAGAGGACCGGAGUGGACGCAUCACUGGUGUUCGGGUUGUCAUGCCAAUGGCACUGCCCGGUAGCUAAAUGCGGAAGAGAUAAGUGCUGAAAGCAUCUAAGCACGAAACUUGCCCCGAGAUGAGUUCUCCCUGAGACUUUAAGUCUCCUGAAGGAACGUUGAAGACGACGACGUUGAUAGGCCGGGUGUGUAAGCGCAGCGAUGCGUUGAGCUAACCGGUACUAAUGAACCGUGAGGCUUAACCUUACAACGCCGAAG